UUGAAUGUUAAAAUACCUUUCAAAUAUAAUGUUAAGUGGGUAUCAUUACCCAUUUUACUCUUAGUAAUUUAAAAAGAGUAAUAAUAAGUUAAGAAAUUUAAGAAAUUUUAAAAUGUAUAAGUUCAGAUUUGAGGUAUCGUAUCAAUAUCGGUGAUAUUGACCUUGAAAGUAUCGGUAUCGUAUUGAAAACAAAAUAAGUGGUAUCGCCCAUCCCUGACAAAAUGAGUGUAUUUAUUUCUCAGGCAUGCCUCCAUCUUUCUACACAAUGCUUACUGUUAAAAUAAAGUUUAAAAAAGGGGGGUCUUUGAUCCCUUUUUUGAAAGCAUGAAAUAUGGUUGGUUGAAAAUUUAAUUUAAGCAUUGUUGCUUACCUCAUAUAUUGUGGAGAAACAAGGCAAUUUUCUUAAAAUUUAUGUUAGAGCACAUUAAUACAGUAUAAUACGGACCUAAAUGGACGAUUUGAAAAGGGUUUUGUUCUUUUGGUAAAAACGUUUUUUUUUUUUUUUUUUUUAUGGUAAAGAUGACCUUUGCGUGGAAUUGCCCUGAACAAGCACACACUCAAUAUAAGGCGUAGCUGAUCAGCACCAGCUGAAGCCAAUCGCUAAUUAGCGAUCAUGAGUUGCCCAGCAGAAAGUGUGAUCACACACACACACUCACACACACACAGAAGACAUGGAAGAAAUCCACAGACCUACGAACCGUGACAACCACCCCUGGUUUAUAGUAAUGGCCAUAGCUGAGAGGUGUUUAUUCCUCAUGUAUAAAUGUUACAUGUUUAGCUCCUACACACCUGCCUGGAAGUUUUCAUUGUUCCCUUUCGAAAGGGACCCCCCGCUGCGUCCACUAGAGGUCGCUAUGGGGAAUGCCUCUGACAUGCCAGGUGUCUAAAACUUUGGUUUUCUUCAGUGUUAUCAAUGUCUGAAGCCAAAGAAGAUAUCAGCAGCUGCUCGAAGAUCUCGCCUUUGGAGAAGACUGAUUUUAUACUCAAAAAAAUCUGUGCCAAUUCUGCAUCUUUAUUCUGAUGAAGCAGCUGAUGAACACCUUCAUCCAUCAUGUCCCUCACUGAUCCCUCGUCCCUCGUUGAUCCAGAGGAUGAGGAAGAUGAUGAUGAUGGACCCCUGAACCCCAC